AACGAACGCUGGCGGCGCGCCUAAUACAUGCAAGUCGAGCGAGAAGGUGUAGCAAUACACUUGUAAAGCGGCGAACGGGUGAGGAAUACAUGGGUAAUCUACCAUCGAGUGGGGAAUAACCAACCGAAAGGUUGGCUAAUACCGCGUACGCCUCCGAGUCUUCGGGUUCGGAGGGAAAGCUGCACUGUGAGUGUAGCGCUCUUUGAUGAGCUCAUGUCCUAUCAGCUUGUUGGUAGGGUAAUGGCCUACCAAGGCUUUGACGGGUAGCUGGUCUGAGAGGACGAUCAGCCACACUGGCACUGCGACACGGGCCAGACUCCUACGGGAGGCAGCAGUAAGGAAUAUUGCGCAAUGGGCGAAAGCCUGACGCAGCGACGCCGCGUGGGGGAUGAAGGUCUUCGGAUUGUAAACCCCUUUCGGAGGGAAGAUGGAGCGAGCAAUCGUUCGGACGGUACCUCCACGAAGCAGCCACGGCCAACUUCGUGCCAGC
rnacentral:rRNA from 1 species